CCUACGGGAGGCAGCAGUGAGGAAUAUUGGACAAUGGGCGCAAGCCUGAUCCAGCCAUGCCGCGUGCAGGAAGACGGUCCUAUGGAUUGUAAACUGCUUUUAUACAGGAAGAAACACCUCUACGUGUAGAGACUUGACGGUACUGUAUGAAUAAGCAUCGGCUAACUCCGUGCCAGCAGCCGCGGUAAUACGGAGGAUGCAAGCGUUAUCCGGAAUCAUUGGGUUUAAAGGGUCCGUAGGCGGUUUAAUAAGUCAGUGGUGAAAGCCCAUCGCUCAACGAUGGAACGGCCAUUGAUACUGUUAAACUUGAAUUAUUAGGAAGUAACUAGAAUAUGUAGUGUAGCGGUGAAAUGCUUAGAGAUUACAUGGAAUACCAAUUGCGAAGGCAGGUUACUACUAAUAUAUUGACGCUGAUGGACGAAAGCGUGGGGAGCGAACAGGAUUAGAUACCCUGGUAGUCCACGCCGUAAACGAUGGAUACUAGCUGUUCGGAGCAAUUCUGAGUGGUCGUAGACGAAGUAGAGUAAGUAUACCCACCCGUCGGGGUAGGUACGGUUCGUCGAAGAAGUAGAACGUACGAAAGGAAAGUUAGUACGGACGUGAGACGUUGCCGACGGACGACGACGAGGGAGGAGG
rnacentral:rRNA from 1 species